rnacentral:tRNA from 1 species
GGGCCGGUAGUUCAGCCUGGUAGAAUACCUCCUUGGCAUGGAGGAGGCCGUGUGUUCAAAUCACGCCCGGUCCACCA